rnacentral:lncRNA from 1 species
CCACCAUUAACAAUGAGCCUUCUCCCACCUGCCAGGAGAGAGGAUCCAGUUCCCCGUUUCCCCCAGACCCAAUGCUGCCAAUCAAGCACUAAUUGGUGUUAAUGAUCAGUCUGUGCUGGCUGCUUCCCUGGGCUGGCUGCUUUGGGAGACAGCAGUGAGGGUCUCUGUGAUGGAGUUCCAUGGUCAAACCGUGCUGCUGUGGGGUAUGGCAUUGCUGCGGUCUCACUGUGGGAACCAGAACCUUUGGGGAAGGUUUGGUCUGAUGGAAAAGCAUCUGGGUGUGCUGCGGCAUCUCAGCACUGCUUGUGUGGCGAUGAGGAGGAUUACGUACCUGAACAUGAGUGCCAAGAUCUCUUUCUUGGGAGUUUACAGCAGGAAACCUACGAUGGGACAUUGCAGAACUGCCCGUGUGUUUCCCAGUGAUGCAUGCAGACCAUGAGGCUGGGACUUGAUUUCAGGCUCCGGAUCUGCUCCUGCUGUAUGGGGACAACUUAAUUUGUUCUCCGGGCUUUUAAUGAAUGCUAAUAAUGCUGCAGCCUACCCAUGAGUAAUUCUGUACAUCGGUUUUCUGCUGCCCUAGGAAUAAAUCAGAAUUGUGUUAUUUCCUUGAAAAAGUACUUUUGGGAGGCAGGAUCAGAGCAGCGUGUGUAUGGAAUAGUCAAAUAGAGUAUAAUACAGCACCCGUUGGGCAACUGGAGUCUGACUGUAAAGCACUGAACCCCUUUAAUUUCCACUGACUGCAAGGGAAGGUGAUCUGUCAUCUGUCUGCUUGUGGGAGAGAACUGAU